GGGAGGCCAACGUUAAUAAAAGAAUAGUCCUAUAACGGUGUGGUUCGAGUUUAGGUCAGAUAACGUGAAUUUGUAAUGAACUCAGUCAACGAGGUUUUAUAACGUCCUCUUGAGGCUCAGGAGUAGGAACAGAGAAGAUAAAGGCGAUCCAGAGCUGGAGAUCAGCAAAGGGGUAACAGUAGAAGGAAAUGAGGCGUUCUGAGAAGGCGUCUGCAGUUUUCACCAGUCUGCCAAAGGAGUCCGUGACACAGAAAAGGCCAAGCCCUUUGGAAUUAGAGCUUUUCUGGUGCCUUCUGGAAUGGCUUUCUCUCUGGAGAGAUCUUCCAAACCUUACCUGCCCCACUUGAGGAGAAGACAAGGAUGGAAGUAGGGGGAAGAAGAGACUCAGCACCUUCUGAUUUUAAAAACUCCACACCGUUAAGAAUUGUAAAUCUUUCCUGUUUGAACUUAGUUCAUUUCAUCAUGAUCAGUCCUCAGAAUGAGUAACAAGCAAAAUGAAUUACUGAGCCUAAUGCAAGGUGGUAAGUUUGAUCUCAUAGGAAUUAUUGAGACUUGAUAGGAUGAGACCCGUGACUGGAAUAUGUCUCUGGAAGGCGUAAACCUUAUUGUAACAGAAGAGAAAAAGGCAAGGGCAAAAGGGAGGAGAGCAGAACUGCAUAAUGAGAAAAUGUAUUCAUUUGAGGAAAUCCAAACAACGAGGAGGAUGGAGAACAUUUAUGUGAAAAUCAGUGGCCUACUUGUCGCAGUCUCUCUCCACGUGGGAGAACUAGGGGCAGAGUGCCAGGAACCAAUGUGUCUGGGCACAGGAACAGUUUCAAUACUAAGCUCAAUGUAGCUUCUUUCCUUCCACCGUCUUUCUCCCAGAAAUCUUCACAAAGCAGUCCUAGAAGCUCCUGUUCCAUGAUGUCACUAGUUGAUGAAUUCUAGGGUAGUAUCUCUCAUCUUCAUGGUGACGGUGACACAAGAUUACAUUCCUCCCCAGGGCCAUAUGUUUUUCAGUCCCUUGUAAAACUUAACUGGACCGUACUUAUAAUCUUUAAUUACAUGACAUAAGCAUAAAUGUCAAUACUUUGAAAUUAAUAAGGGUGAUUUUCUUGGCACCCUAGGUAAUCAUUCUACAGUACCAUUAAAGACAAAUGCACAUUAUCAACAGAUGCAACAUUCUUGGUAUGGUGGAGUAUGCCUUUAAUCCCAGCUAUAGGGGAGGUUAAGGUUGUCAAAAUCUUGAUAUGCUGAUUGUGUCUCUACACUGUUUGGCAUCAAUAUGGUGAGCUCCUGGGAACAGCAGUCCACUAGGCUGCCCAAGCAGGGUAAAUCAGCACUGGUAAGAAAUAGAGAAGGUCAAAGCGCCCAUGCCAAUUGGUAGUAAGAUUGGGCCCGUGAGAGGUUGCUGUACUUCCAGCCUGAGUGAGAAGGAGAAACCCAAUCUUAAAUAAACAAACCAAUAAAUAAGCAAUAGAUUCGAUAGACACAGCACUCUACAAAACGUCACUCGACAGGAUGCUUCAGUGACUAAUGUUCAGAUUACAUUCGUGACAUAGUACAUGCACAUUUCAGGAGCUCAUGUGUAACAUGGGGUUCCAGGCAAGUCUGGAGCAUUUUCGAGAGACUCCCUUAAUUGGUGGAGAGACUGCUGAUGCAACACUGCUGUGACUACAUGAGAAGUAGAGUUUAUGUGAGAGGUGGAGAUCUAACCAUGUCACCCCCUUACUCGAUCACCUCCAGGACUCUGUCACCUCCAAGAUCGAAGAUGACAUCCUCUGUUUGGCAUUCAGAGCCCUUCGCAGCCUAGUAUCUAUCCUACAUUUCCAGUCUUCUUACUAGUUACCUCCCCCACUGCCGCUCCCACCCCCUACAUCUAUACUCUUCAGUCCAAAGACGCUGGCUUCUUUGUUGUUCCUGUAAGAAGUCACUCCAUUUCUUGGUUCUGAGCAUUUUCUCUGGCUGUCUCCUAUGUCUCCUUCUUCAUCUUUGCCUACUGACUUCUCUGCCUUCCUUUAAU